AACGAACGCUGGCGGCAUGCCUAACACAUGCAAGUCGAACGAGACCUUCGGGUCUAGUAGCGCACGGGUGCGUAACGCGUGGGAACCUGCCCUUAGGUUCGGAAUAACUCCCCGAAAGGGGUGCUAAUGCCGGAUAAUGUCUUCGGACCAAAGAUUUAUCGCCUUUGGAUGGGCCCGCGUUGGAUUAGCUAGUUGGUAGGGUAAAAGCCUACCAAGGCGACGAUCCAUAGCUGGUCUGAGAGGAUGAUCAGCCACACUGGGACUGAGACACGGCCCAGACUCCUACGGGAGGCAGCAGUGGGGAAUAUUGGACAAUGGGCGAAAGCCUGAUCCAGCAAUGCCGCGUGAGUGAUGAAGGCCUUAGGGUUGUAAAGCUCUUUUACCCGGGAUGAUAAUGACAGUACCGGGAGAAUAAGCUCCGGCUAACUCCGUG
rnacentral:rRNA from 1 species